GACGUAGGGCGCGAGCGUUGUCCGGAUUUAUUGGGCGUAAAGAGCUCGUAGGCGGCUUGUUGCGUCGACCGUGAAAACCCGUGGCUCAACUGCGGGCUUGCGGUCGAUAGGGCGGGCUAGAGUUCGGUAGGGGAGACUGGAAUUCCUGGUGUAGCGGUGAAAUGCGCAGAUAUCAGGAGGAACACCGGUGGCGAAGGCGGCUCACUGGACCGGUAUUGACGCUGAGGUGCGAAAGCGUGGGGAGCAAACAGG
rnacentral:rRNA from 1 species